rnacentral:rRNA from 1 species
UACGGGGGGAGCAAGCGUUAUCCGGAUUUACUGGGCGUAAAGAGCGCGCAGGCGGUCGAUCAAGUCGCGUGUGAAAGCCCCCGGCUCAACUGGGGAGGGUCACGCGAUACUGAUCGACUCGAAGGCAGGAGAGGGUAGUGGAAUUCCCGGUGUAGUGGUGAAAUGCGUAGAUAUCGGGAGGAACACCAGUGGCGAAGGCGACUACCUGGCCUGUUUCUUGACGCUGAGGCGCGAAAAGCUAGGGGAGCAAACGGG